rnacentral:misc_RNA from 1 species
UUAAAAAAAAAAAAAAAAAAAGUGGGCUGAACCACUGGUCCGGUUCUAGAGCUGGGGAGGGAUCCCUAAAACCUGAGGACCCAAUACCUAAUUUAAAACUCAUGUUUAGAUUUAACAGUAAUAUAUCAAUAUUUUAUUUGAAUUUCAAUAUAACUAAAACUGAAAUUCUAAUGAAAAACAAAGGGAAACAAGUGGGGGAAUACGGAUCCUGCAGAGACAAAGAUGGGGAAUCCCACUAGAGGAAUGUUGGGAAGACAUGAAUGGGGAAUAAUUCUCGGCCCACCCCAUUGCCAUUCCUAGCAGUAUGAUGGAUCAUAUGUAAACUAUCAUGGAUUAAAAAAAAAA